ncrna:Saccoglossus kowalevskii microRNA sko-mir-153 precursor
GGCCUAGUCAUUUUUGUGCAUAUGCAAGCUGUCAAAUCAAUCACUUGCAUAGUCACAAAAGUGAUUGGGACA